rnacentral:rRNA from 1 species
GAUGAACGCUGGCGGCGUGCCUAAUACAUGCAAGUCGAGCGGACAGACGAGGAGCUUGCUCCUCUGACGUUAGCGGCGGACGGGUGAGUAACACGUGGAUAACCUACCUAUAAGACUGGGAUAACUUCGGGAAACCGGAGCUAAUACCGGAUAAUAUAUUGAACCGCAUGGUUCAAUAGUGAAAGACGGUUUUGCUGUCACUUAUAGAUGGAUCCGCGCCGCAUUAGCUAGUUGGUAAGGUAACGGCUUACCAAGGCGACGAUGCGUAGCCGACCUGAGAGGGUGAUCGGCCACACUGGAACUGAGACACGGUCCAGCCUCCUACGGGAGGCAGCAGUAGGGAAUCUUCCGCAAUGGGCGAAAGCCUGACGGAGCAACGCCGCGUGAGUGAUGAAGGUCUUCGGAUCGUAAAACUCUGUUAUUAGGGAAGAACAAAUGUGUAAGUAACUAUGCACGUCUUGACGGUACCUAAUCAGAAAGCCACGGCUAACUACGUG